UACGAAGGGGGCUAGCGUUGCUCGGAAUUACUGGGCGUAAAGGGCUCGUAGGCGGCCAACUAAGUCAGACGUGAAAUCCCUCGGCUUAACCGGGGAACUGCGUCUGAUACUGGAUGGCUUGAGUUCGGGAGAGGGAUGCGGAAUUCCAGGUGUAGCGGUGAAAUGCGUAGAUAUCUGGAGGAACACCGGUGGCGAAGGCGGCAUCCUGGACCGACACUGACGCUGAGGAGCGAAAGCCAGGGGAGCAAACGGG
rnacentral:rRNA from 1 species